rnacentral:rRNA from 1 species
GCGUGGAGACAGGUGGUGCAUGGCUGUCGUCAGCUCGUGUCGUGAGAUGUUGGGUUAAGUCCCGCAACGAGCGCAACCCUCACCCCUUGUUGCCAUCAGGUCAUGCUGGGCACUCUAGGGGAACUGCCCCGGUCAACGGGGAGGAAAGGCGGGGAUGACGUCAAGUCAUCAUGCCCCUUACGCCCUGGGCUACACACGUGCUACAAUGGCCGGUACAAAGGGAUGCGAGACCGCGAGGUGGAGCCAAACCCAAAAAGCCGGUCUAAGUUCAGAUUGGAGUCUGCAACUCGACACCAUGAAGGAGGAAUCGCUAGUAAUCGCCCAUCAGCACGGGGCGGUGAAUACGUUCCCGGGCCUUGUACACACCGCCCGUCACACCACGAAAGUCAGCUGUACUCGAAGUCGCUGAG